GGCGGAUGCCCAGAAGCAUAAAAGGGCACCUGCUGAAUACGUCACCAACUUAGUUGUCUGAAGGAGACAUAAACAGGCAGGCCGAAGGCAUGGCGAGGGGACGCAGUGUCUCAUUCUCUCUUGGGGAUCCAUGGUGACAUGCAUAACCCGAGACGUUCCCCUUCUAGGGAACUCCACACUGCAUCCUCUAGCGGACACAAUGGGGAACGAAAUGCCAACUAUGCCAUGCCAAGGUGCAUGCCUGUCCACCUGGUGAGAGAUCAAGUGACAGACAUAAACCAAGCCUUUCCUCAGAAAAGAUAGAAGCCACUGACACCUUGGGCCACUCACAUAACCUGGCAAAAUGGGGGAACCCGAUUAAGAUAAAAGGGAACAUCCCACCCAAGUUAUCCUCAUAGCUCUGCUAUGUGAGCAAUACUAGCCUGUAUUCACAAGACCACUGAAGCGGCUAAACUCUGAAGCCUCUGGGGGAGCUCAAAGAGAUCACUACUAUUAAACUCACACAAUCUGUAUUGUUAAAAGUGCUGUAUAAAUAAAGGUGACUUGACUUACUUGACUUGACUAUUUAAAUUAAAGAGAGUAAUGCUGUAUCCCAGUGGUUCUCAACCCGCGCCCUUUCACGAAUUCAAAUGCAGCCAACCAUGCUGAACACAAUUAAAAAAGUAACUUUCAGUUUUACAAUUCAUUUUAGUUUUUACAUUAAUUAAUAAAAAUGUACUAAACAAAUAUAAGCUAUAAUGUUUUUGUUUUGUAAAAUAAUUUAGUUUUUCAUAUAUUAUUUUCAGACAUGAGCAGACCUGUACUCACAUAAUUAAUGUUCUGCAUUUAACAAACACUUACAAGCGUGCACUUUGGCAGAAUUCAAUUCAGAUAGUCAUCAGUAGCCAUUAGUUCGGUAAAACUGAGCAUCAGAAUGGACAAAUUUGUUAUAAGGGGAGAAACACAAAAUGUGGAAAAUGUCAGCGAAGGAUCACAUACAAACAAGAAGUCACAGUAUCAGCAGUGAAGGUAGGAGAGUGCUGAACUUUCGGCAUCAACUUUCGGUUUGCCCCGCCACUCACAUGAAGAUGUUCAGGCAAAAAGAAGCAAUUAUCCUUAAUUGCAGAAAUGUGGCAAAACAUCUCUGGAGAGAACUUCAGAUUAUUAAAUUCAACAGUACUUUCCAAAUUUGGAUCGACAUAGGCUACAUCUGUGAAUGCACAUUUUCUGCACAUUUACGCCUUACAGUCUGCAACUUACAAUCACAACUUCAUUGUGCUGUUACUCCUUUCGAGCCAAAUUUCACGAAAUUGUCCAUCUCCUGACAGCUUCAGGUGUUCAGGUCUUUACUCAUCUUUCGAGAAGAGGGACAAACACGAAAGGAGCUUUCCCAUUGGAAACACUCACAAUGAGCACAUUCAGAGCCCUCAAGCACGAAUGCACAAGCCCCUGACCAAGACACAUGACUCAUAUAGAUUGUGUGCAUCCUCAAGUGUCCUUGGGCACGGAGGCACACAAUUUCUACAAUGCUCACCUGCCUUGGUCUCUCACACACACUUCAGACAGAUGGCUCCUGAAGACAACAAAAGUUGGUGAGGUUUUCAGCAGGUGCCCUUUUAUGUUUCCGGGCAUCCGCCUAUGAUGUCACGGGCCACGUGGACCAAUAGGAUUGGCAUUGUUUCACAUGUGCUUCAGACAUUGGUCAUGACGACGCAGCAUGGAGUUCCCUAGAAGGGGAUGUUGUUCCAAACCUGCAUCCGAAUGCCAUGCCAGGGCCACAGAGAACUGUGUCCAUGCCAAAACUUUCCUGCAUCUAAAACUUACUGUUUCCCUAAACCUCCUCUUAAGGGUCAGAAAUGGUGCAGAGUGACAGGAGAGAUGUCCAAGAAAAGGACCACCAACGUCAGGCCACCCAUCAAUCCGCAGUGGCACAAAACCCACAUCAAGGAAUUGCCACUCAAGGUCUGGUCGCUCCCCCAAAGAUGAAACCAAUCCCAAAACCUUGUCUACUGAAGACACAGUUCCAUGUUGACCAAUCACAGCCUGUCCAUAAUAGCAAUAUGAAUUAUGCAUCAGACCCAGCUUGUUCAGAUGGAAAGAAUAAUGACACUCAUUUGAAAAACUGGAAAAACUCUUCCCAAAGAGCCAGAGCAAAUGAUCUCCAUGACAAAUG
ensembl:lncRNA